GAUGAAGAACGCAGCGAAAUGCGAUAAGUAAUGUGAAUUGCAGAAUUCAGUGAAUCAUCGAAUCUUUGAACGCACAUUGCGCCCGGUAGUAUUCUGCCGGGCAUGCCUGUUCGAGCGUCAUUUCAACCAUCAAGCCCCAGCGCUUGUGUUGGGGGCCUGCGGCUGCCGCAGCCCCCUAAAAGCAGUGGCGGGCUCGCUAUCACACCGAGUGCAGUAGUUCAGCUUCUCUCCGGUCUUGUGAGGCGGGUUCCGGCCGUGAAACACCCCACUACAUUCAAGGUUGACCUCGGAUCAGGUAGGAAUACCCGCUGAACUUAAGCAUAUCAAUAAGCGGAGGA
rnacentral:misc_RNA from 1 species